GUGUUAGGGGGUCUCCGCCCCUUAGUGCUGCAGCUAACGCAUUAAGCACUCCGCCUGGGGAGUACGGUCGCAAGACUGAAACUCAAAGGAAUUGACGGGGGCCCGCACAAGCGGUGGAGCAUGUGGUUUAAUUUGAAGCAACGCGAAGAACCUUACCAGGUCUUGACAUCCCGUUGACCACUGUAGAGAUAUAGUUUCCCCUUCGGGGGCAACGGUGACAGGUGGUGCAUGGUGGUCGUCAGCUCGUGUCGUGAGAUGUUGGGUUAAGUCCCGCAACGAGCGCAACCCUUGAUCUUAGUUGCCAUCAUUUAGUUGGGCACUCUAAGGUGACUGCCGGUGACAAACCGGAGGAAGGUGGGGAUGACGUCAAAUCAUCAUGCCCCUUAUGACCUGGGCUACACACGUGCUACAAUGGACGAUACAAACGGUUGCCAACUCGCGAGAGGGAGCUAAUCCGAUAAAGUCGUUCUCAGUUCGGAUUGUAGGCUGCAACUCGCCUACAUGAAGCCGGAAUCGCUAGUAAUCGCGGAUCAGCAUGCCGCGGUGAAUACGUUCCCGGGCCUUGUACACACCGCCCGUCACACCACGAGAGUUUGUAACACCCGAAGUC
rnacentral:misc_RNA from 1 species